GACGAACGCUGGCGGCGUGCCUAACACAUGCAAGUCGAACGAGAUUACCUGAAUUAGUUUACUAAGAAGGGUAAUCUAGUGGCGGACGGGUGAGUAACGCGUGGGCAAUCUGCCCUGUGGAGAGGGAUAGCCUCGGGAAACCGGGAUUAAUACCUUAUGACAUUAUUUUUACGCAUGUAAAGAUAAUCAAAGAUUUAUCGCCACAGGAUGAGCCCGCGUCCCAUUAGCUAGUUGGUGAGAUAAUAGCCCACCAAGGCGACGAUGGGUAGCCGACCUGAGAGGGUGAACGGCCACACUGGGACUGAGACACGGCCCAGACUCCUACGGGAGGCAGCAGUGGGGAAUAUUGCGCAAUGGGGGCAACCCUGACGCAGCAACGCCGCGUGAGUGAAGAAGGCUUUCGGGUUGUAAAACUCUGUCUUUGGGGAAGAAUAAAUGACGGUACCCAAGGAGGAAGCCCCGGCUAACUACGUG
rnacentral:rRNA from 1 species